GAUGAACGCUGGCGGCGUGCCUAAUACAUGCAAGUCGAGCGAACAGACGAGGAGCUUGCUCCUCUGACGUUAGCGGCGGACGGGUGAGUAACACGUGGAUAACCUACCUAUAAGACUGGGAUAACUUCGGGAAACCGGAGCUAAUACCGGAUAAUAUAUUGAACCGCAUGGUUCAAUAGUGAAAGACGGUUUUGCUGUCACUUAUAGAUGGAUCCGCGCCGCAUUAGCUAGUUGGUAAGGUAACGGCUUACCAAGGCAACGAUGCGUAGCCGACCUGAGAGGGUGAUCGGCCACACUAGAACUGAGACACGGUCCAGACUCCUACGGGAGGCAGCAGUAGGGAAUCUUCCGCAAUGGGCGAAAGCUUGACGGAGCAACGCCGCGUGAGUGAUGAAGGUCUUCGGAUCGUAAAACUCUGUUAUUAGGGAAGGACAAAUGUGUAAGUAACUAUGCACGUCUUGACGGUACCUAAUCAGAAAGCCACGGCUAACUACGUG
rnacentral:rRNA from 1 species